CGAACGGGUGAGUAACGCGUGGGUGACCUACCCUCGAGUGGGGGAUAACGUUCCGAAAGGGACGCUAAUACCGCAUGACAUUCUGGGUUCGAAGACCUGGAAAUCAAAGCCGGGGACCGCAAGGCCUGGCGCUUGAGGAGGGGCCCGCGUCUGAUUAGCUAGUUGGCGGGGUAACGGCCCACCAAGGCGACGAUCAGUAGCCGGCCUGAGAGGGCGGACGGCCACACUGGGACUGAGACACGGCCCAG
rnacentral:rRNA from 1 species